rfam:Ophiophagus hannah scaffold3123.1, whole genome shotgun sequence.
CACCCUUGCCAUACUACCCUGAAUGCGCCCGAUCCCAUCUGAUCUCGGAAGCUAAGCAGGGUCAGGUCUGGUUAGUACUUGGAUGGGAGACUCUCUCUCACCCAGGUCCUGCUGUCC